rnacentral:rRNA from 2 species
GAGUUUGAUCAUGGCUCAGAAUGAACGCUGGCGGCAGGCCUAACACAUGCAAGUCGAACGGAGUUAUAUUGUAGCUUGCUAUGGUAUAACUUAGUGGCAGACGGGUGAGUAAUGUAUAGGAAUCUACCUAGUAGUACGGAAUAAUUGUUGGAAACGGCAACUAAUACCGUAUACGCCCUACGGGGGAAAAAUUUAUUGCUAUUAGAUGAGCCUAUAUUAGAUUAGUUAGUUGGUGAGGUAAAGGCUUACCAAGACAAUGAUCUAUAGCUGAUCUGAGAGGAUGAUCAGCCACACUGGAACUGAGAUACGGUCCAGACUCCUACGG